UACGGAGGAUGCAAGCGUUAUCCGGAUUUAUUGGGUUUAAAGGGUGCGCAGGUUGUUUGAUAAGUCAGUGGUGAAAGUCUGUCGCUUAACGGUAGGAUUGCCAUUGAUACUGUUGGACUUGAAUAUGGAUGAGGUAGGCGGAAUGUGUAGUGUAGCGGUGAAAUGCAUAGAUAUUACACAGAACACCGAUUGCGAAGGCAGCUUACUAAUCCAUCAUUGACGCUGAGGCACGAAAGCGUGGGGAUCAAACAGGAUUA
rnacentral:rRNA from 1 species